rnacentral:rRNA from 1 species
UACGUAGGUGGCAAGCGUUGUCCGGAUUUACUGGGCGUAAAGGGCGUGCAGGCGGUCUGUUAAGUCUAGGGUGAAAUCUCCCGGCUCAACUGGGAGGGUGCGCCGAAAACUGGAAGGCUAGAGUGCGGGAUGGGAGAGUGGAAUUCCUGGUGUAGCGGUGAAAUGCGUAGAUAUCAGGAGGAACGCCAAUGGCGAAGGCAAGUCUCUGGACAGUUCCUGACGCUCAUGCACGAAGGCCAGGGGAGCAAACGGG